rnacentral:rRNA from 1 species
AGAGUUUGAUCCUGGCUCAGAUUGAACGCUGGCGGAAUGCUUUACACAUGCAAGUCGAACGGCAGCACGGGAGCUUGCUCCUGGUGGCGAGUGGCGAACGGGUGAGUAAUGCGUCGGAACGUACCGAGUAAUGGGGGAUAACGCAGCGAAAGCUGUGCUAAUACCGCAUACGCCCUGAGGGGGAAAGUGGGGGAUCGUAAGACCUCACGUUAUUCGAGCGGCCGACGUCUGAUUAGCUAGUUGGUGGGGUAAAGGCUCACCAAGGCGACGAUCAGUAGCGGGUCUGAGAGGAUGAUCCGUCACACUGGAACUGAGACACGGUCCAGACUCCUACGGGAGGCAGCAGUGGGGAAUUUUGGACAAUGGGGGCAACCCUGAUCCAGCCAUUCCGCGUGAGUGAAGAAGGCCUUCGGGUUGUAAAGCUCUUUCAGCCGGAACGAAACGGUACGCACUAAUAUUGUGUGCUAAUGACGGUACCGUAAGAAUAAGCACCGGCUAACUACGUGCCAGCAGCCGCGGUAAUACGUAGGGUGCAAGCGUUAAUCGGAAUUACUGGGCGUAAAGCGUGCGCAGGCGGUGAUGUAAGACAGUCGUGAAAUCCCCGGGCUCAACCUGGGAAUUGCGAUUGUGACUGCAUCGCUGGAGUGCGGCAGAGGGGGAUGGAAUUCCGCGUGUAGCAGUGAAAUGCGUAGAUAUGCGGAGGAACACCGAUGGCGAAGGCAAUCCCCUGGGCCUGCACUGACGCUCAUGCACGAAAGCGUGGGGAGCAAACAGGAUUAGAUACCCUGGUAGUCCACGCCCUAAACGAUGUCAACUGGGUUGUUGGGUCUCUUCUGACUCAGUAACGAAGCUAACGCGUGAAGUUGACCGCCUGGGGGAGUACGGUCGCAAGAUUAAAACUCAAAUGAAUUGACGG